GAUUGGUGCUUGCAUCAUGAUUUACAUUUGAGUGAGUGGCGAACUGGUGAGUAACACGUGGGAAACCUGCCCAGAAGCGGGGGAUAACACCUGGAAACAGAUGCUAAUACCGCAUAACAACUUGGACCGCAUGGUCCGAGUUUGAAAGAUGGCUUCGGCUAUCACUUUUGGAUGGUCCCGCGGCGUAUUAGCUAGAUGGUGAGGUAACGGCUCACCAUGGCAAUGAUACGUAGCCGACCUGAGAGGGUAAUCGGCCACAUUGGGACUGAGACACGGCCCAAACUCCUACGGGAGGCAGCAGUAGGGAAUCUUCCACAAUGGACGAAAGUCUGAUGGAGCAACGCCGCGUGAGUGAAGAAGGGUUUCGGCUCGUAAAACUCUGUUGUUAAAGAAGAACAUAUCUGAGAGUAACUGUUCAGGUAUUGACGGUAUUUAACCAGAAAGCCACGGCUAACUACGUGCCAGCAGCCGCGGUAAUACGUAGGUGGCAAGCGUUGUCCGGAUUUAUUGGGCGUAAAGCGAGCGCAGGCGGUUUUUUAAGUCUGAUGUGAAAGCCUUCGGCUCAACCGAAGAAGUGCAUCGGAAACUGGGAAACUUGAGUGCAGAAGAGGACAGUGGAACUCCAUGUGUAGCGGUGAAAUGCGUAGAUAUAUGGAAGAACACCAGUGGCGAAGGCGGCUGUCUGGUCUGUAACUGACGCUGAGGCUCGAAAGUAUGGGUAGCAAACAGGAUUAGAUACCCUGGUAGUCCAUACCGUAAACGAUGAAUGCUAAGUGUUGGAGGGUUUCCGCCCUUCAGUGCUGCAGCUAACGCAUUAAGCAUUCCGCCUGGGGAGUACGGCCGCAAGGCUGAAACUCAAAGGAAUUGACGGGGGCCCGCACAAGCGGUGGAGCAUGUGGUUUAAUUCGAAGCUACGCGAAGAACCUUACCAGGUCUUGACAUACUAUGCAAAUCUAAGAGAUUAGACGUUCCCUUCGGGGACAUGGAUACAGGUGGUGCAUGGUUGUCGUCAGCUCGUGUCGUGAGAUGUUGGGUUAAGUCCCGCAACGAGCGCAACCCUUAUUAUCAGUUGCCAGCAUUAAGUUGGGCACUCUGGUGAGACUGCCGGUGACAAACCGGAGGAAGGUGGGGAUGACGUCAAAUCAUCAUGCCCCUUAUGACCUGGGCUACACACGUGCUACAAUGGAUGGUACAACGAGUUGCGAACUCGCGAGAGUAAGCUAAUCUCUUAAAGCCAUUCUCAGUUCGGAUUGUAGGCUGCAACUCGCCUACAUGAAGUCGGAAUCGCUAGUAAUCGCGGAUCAGCAUGCCGCGGUGAAUACGUUCCCGGGCCUUGUACACACCGCCCGUCACACCAUGAGAGUUUGUAACACCCAAAGUCGGUGGG
rnacentral:rRNA from 2 species